ensembl:snRNA U4 U4 spliceosomal RNA
AGCUUUGUGCAGUGGCAGUAUCGUAGCCAAUAAGGUUUACCCAAGGUGUGAUUAUUGCUAAUAGGAAUGCAAGUGUGCUUCAAGAUAUGAAAAUCAAUGUAAUUCAUCACAUUAA